UACGUAGGGCGCAAGCGUUUGUCCGGAAUUAUUGGGCGUAAAGAGCUCGUAGGCGGCUUGUCACGUCGGGUGUGAAAGCCCGGGGCUUAACCCCCGGGUCUGCAUUCGAUACGGGCUAGCUAGAGUGUGGUAGGGGAGAUCGGAAUUCCUGGUGUAGCGGUGAAAUGCGCAGAUAUCAGGAGGAACACCGGUGGCGAAGGCGGCUAUCUGGCCCGUAAUUGACGCUGAGGCGCGAAAGCGUGGGGAGCAAACAGG
rnacentral:rRNA from 1 species